rnacentral:lncRNA from 1 species
CAAGACCAAAAAUUCAAAAACACAGAAAACCCUAUCAAAAGACCACAAAACCACAAGACCAACUUUCAUUUUCUCCAUCUUCCAAAAACCACAAGACCUUUCUCCUUACUCCUCCAUAAACCUACAAAACCUAAACAUUCAAAAUCAUCAAAACUCAACAAAUCUUACAAAGAUGGCAAGUAUGGAGUCAGAAGACAUCAAAAUAGAAGAUUGUGCUGCGGAAGAACACAAGAAAGUAUGCAUUUAUGGGUUUUUUAGCUAGAAUAUCGUUUUCCAAAAAAGAUCCCGCGCAAACGAAUUCAACAUGUACAGGUCGAAUUUUAUGGGAAAAAAUCGACAUUUAGAUGUCGAUUUUGAGGUAUCAAAUUCGACAUUUGGCAAUGUCGAAUUUGUGCUAUAAAUUCGAUAUUCAAUGUCGAUUUAUGCCUUUAAAUUCGACGCUUAAGUGUCGAUUUUUACCAGUUUCAAAUUUUAUUUGUUUUUCCUCUUUUUUUGUAAGAUUUUACCGAUUUCAUGAUUGUGAGCGACGGGGUUGAUGACGGCAGCGAACGGUGGUGGAGCUUGGGCGGCGGUGCUUUGACGGCGGAGAAGGUGGGCAUACGUGGAGAAGGUGGGCAUAUGUAGGGUUUGAGGAGAGGGGGCUGUUUUUAAUUCCCACAUCUAUAUUUUUGUGUUUUUUUUGGGUAAUAAUAUACGCUGGCCAAAUUAAACAUUCAGGCAUUUUUUUACCAUAACUAUUUACCUUUUGUACUAUUCCUACCAAAUCCUAUAAAAUAUAAAACUCAACAUUUAAAGUGAAAAAAUUCAGAUAUUCAACAAUUUUUGCGAUGGAUCCAAACAACUUAGACCCGAAUGUAAGUUUUUCGUUUUUUCCCCACAACCUUAUCUGCUCGUGUGAAUUUACGCGAGCAUAUCAACAGUGCUCGUGUGAAAUCAGACGAGCACUGUUGAAAUGCUCGCAUGUUUUUGCACGAGCAUCUUAUAAUUCAAAAAAUAAAUUUAUAAAAAAAAAUUAAAAAUGCUCGGGUAACAAGGCCUGCUCGUGUGAAUU